CCCUUAGAUGUUCUGGGUCGCACGCGCGCUACACUGACGGAGGCAGCGAGCAUGUCCUUCGCCGAGAGGUGUGGGGAAUCUUGUGAGUCUCCGUCGUGCUGGGGAUAGAUGGUUGCAAUUGUCGAUCUUGAACGAGGAAUUCCUAGUAAGCGCGAGUCAUCAGCUCGCGCUGAUUACGUCCCUGCCCUUUGUACACACCGCCCGUCGCUACUACCGAUUGGAUGGUUUAGCGAGAACUUUGGACCGGAGCUCGGGUGGUCAGCAAUGGCCGCCCGAGACAUACUGGGAAAUCGCUCCAGCUUGAUCAUCUAGAGGAAGUAAAAGUCGUAACA
rnacentral:rRNA from 1 species